CUACAGGUUUUUUUUAAAACCACAAUCCUUAAAGUUUAUUCUUAU
rfam:Chelonia mydas contig201121, whole genome shotgun sequence.